AAAGUCGUAACAAGGUAUCCGUAGGUGAACCUGCGGAUGGAUCAUUAUUAAGAAAAGGUUGGGGGGGGGGAGAGAGAGAAGUCUGGUCCUGGCGAACGAAUCCAAAUGUACACCUUUGUGGUCUAUAGACAUUGUUGUGUGUGUUGUUGGCGGCCGCGAAUGUGCAGCUCGAGAGAGCAGCGCGGACGCACCGCCGACGGCAUGCCCCAUACAAACCUAUUGAUACAUACAUACUAGUCUAACGUAACCUUGUGGCCUGCUUCGGCGGACACCAAGUAAAACAACCAUAAUCCAAUACAACUGCUAGCAACGGAUCACUCGGCUCUC
rnacentral:misc_RNA from 1 species